AGCUAACGUAGUAACGGCUUAAAGUUACUCUGAACUUAUAUAUGGUAUACCAUAAAGUAUGUUUAAUGAUAGUCAAAGUUAUUACUUUAACUUAUUUAUGUAGCCUUUUGAGAGUUUCUUUCAGAAAGUAAAUUAUCUGAAAGAGAAAAGUCAUUUGGCAUGAUGGUAAUGAUAACAUUGCAGAUGUAAAAUGUUAAAUACUGUUCUGUAUUAAAAGCUCAGUGUAAGUGUUUGAUUAACUUCCUUUGCUUUUGUUUUGUACAAAGGAAAAGCAGAACCUAAUCCAAAUAAAAAUAAACAAGCUGUUAAAAGGACUGUGUCCUACCCAGAUCCUCCUCCAAAAUAUAACCAUUCAAAAUCCAAUCCAUUUGAAAAUACACUUAAACAAAUGGGAGAUGUUAUUUGUGGUGUAAAUAUCAUUAAUUACAAUUUCAUUUUAAUUACAGUUGAAGAUCAACACAAACCAAAUAAAGAUGUUGCAGAUUCUACAAACAAUAAAAAAUAAGAUCAAGUUUUGUGUCCAACACACUUGGAUGAGACGUGCCUGACUUUGUCUACCCUACAUUAAGUUGUGAUGGCACACAUCAUGACAGUAAACAUCGGUAUCAAGAUGGUGUGAUUGAUCUAUACCCUAGAAUAAGCUGUGACACUGAUGCUGUUGUUUCCGCUAUAUACAUUCUACCGUGGCGGGCCGCCGCGCAUAAAACAUCCCCGCCACGCCUGCGGUUGUGGAUAGAAGGGAUACAGCAAACGAAAUCUCGCCAGAUGAGCACUGUUUUAUCCUAAUCCUUCACCCAAACCCAACUCUAAACACAAAAUUAACACGAUUGUAGGAUGUAUUUGUAUCUUAUUUAGCCAGAGCCGCUGUGUUCAUCCUAAUAAUCCUACCUCCAAAUCUAAUCGCCGAUUUAUCGUGCAUCACAAGAUUUCACAUUAGUGGCAACACAGCUUGGAGUAUAAACAUUUACAUUUCUCUGAAUCUGAGUUAAUAGUUACAAAUACAGAGCUUAUAAUGUCUGUCAUUGCAACCACAAAGACCUAAAAGUACAGCCAGCUGAUUUCAUAACUAAUGCAGUACUGUAAAGUUAUUUACUGUUAAAAUAUUACACUACCAUAACAUUAACUCUAUUUGUACAGGUGAAGUAACACAACGAAAAAAUUACCGGAUGGAGACUACCUGAUUCUUCACCUAUGGCCUCAGCUUCAAAUGCAAGAAGUCCAGAAACUGUCUUGAGUUGGUGGAUAUUCUGUCAGAGACUGCGUGAACAACGUUAUGAACAGAAUGAUGUCUAAUUGUCUUAUGGCAAAGUUCAAUAUGAGGGGUGGUGGACAUCUGGAAAAGAAGUCUUUUAAAGGCACACCUUUGUAUUAUGUUAUUCAAGAUGCUGUGAAGAGGUGGAGCCCAAAUGCCACAGACUCAGAAAUAGAUGCAGCUAUGGCAGACCACCUCAAGCACGCUCCAGGAAGAGCUGGGGGUGGUGGAUACAAAAAAGCCUAACAGCUGUGAUGUGUUAAAGAGAGAGUUCACCAAAAAAGGAAAAUUGUUAUAAUUUUCUUAUCCACAUCUUUCAAACCUGUAUACCUUUAUAUUUUCUGCUGAACACAAAGAUUGAAGAAUGUUUGUAACUUCACAACCAAUUAACUGUCAAUAUUUUUUUUUUACAAUUGUAGUAAUGGGUUGUGAGAUCUGCUUUGUUAAAAACAUUAUUUCAAAUAUCUUUGUGUUCAGCAGAACAUAGAAAGGUAUACAGGUUUGAAACAUGAGAGGGAAUAAAUGACUAAAUAUUAAUUUUUGGGUGAACUAUCCCUUUAUAGAAAGUGUUUUGAAAUUGUUAUUAUAGUUAAAUGGUUAAAAAAUAAAAAGUGCUAAAUCAGAACAUGC